rnacentral:lncRNA from 1 species
GGUUGGAUUAACAUUGGCUGCAGGUGAAAGAAGCCUUCACCAAAUAACAGUUUAUUUCUGCCUUCAUGGAUGCCUGAAGGUUGGUAAUCCAGGGUUGGGAUGGUUGUUUUGCUUUAAGAAGGCCUCAGGAAGAAGCUCUUUCUAGCUCUCUUGUCUUCCAACCCCAGGCUGUGGCCUCCGUCCUCAUGGUGCAAUGUGAUGGUUGAAGCAUCAGCCAUCAUAUCCAUGUUCCCAGGAACAGGAAAUGGGCACACACAUGGUGUCUUGAGGAUGUUUUCCUGGAAGUUGUCCAAUAACACUUCUACUUAUAAGUCACUGGCCAGAACUUAUUGCCAUUGCUGUUCGCAGCAGAGAGAAAAGCUGGACAAUGCAGCUUUAUUCCAGGCAGCUUUGUGUCCAGUUCAGCAUCGCGCUGCAAUUUUUACAGAAGGAAUGGAGAAUAGAUCGGGGGAGGGAGCAACCAGCAAUCUUGGCAACAUUGUUUUCUGAACACUAAAUAAAACCACUAGAAAAUAUCUAGAUUGAUUGGAUGACACCGGGAUGGGACUGUUAGUUUCGCAUGAAGAUUUAGUGGAGAAACCAUGUAUUUGUAUGGAUGAAGUGAAAUGAAUGGCCUGGCAGGCUUCUUUUCAAGGGCUCUCAUGCAUGCUCAGCCUCAGAUGCAUCACAUCGGUAGCAUCCUGUGCACCAUGAGGACUUAGGGACCCACGGGCCAUUUUCCUGAGAGACAGCAGCCAGCCAGCCCUGACCGCAGGAGCUCAGACAGCCAGAUAGCCCUAAGCAGCUGAGUCUGGUGGGCGAACUUUUCUGAGUGGCUGCCAGUUUGUGAUGGUCCCCACAGAAGCGCCUCUGUUAUUUUGUGCAGUGUGUCUCUAAGUAUUCCAGUGAGGACACCCACCACUUCUCUUGAAUGUACAGACUCCUCUGUGGGGGUUUUUCUCCCUGCUUGUCAGCUUCAGUCUUCUUUGUUCAGAAUCUUCCCUCUUCCUCUGGACUUACCCCUUCAACACGACCACAACCUCAAGAAUGUGAUGUUUGCACUUACAACGUUCUAUGAAAUCCAGCAAAACAGCCUCAGUGGACAACUCUUCUACUUAAGGAGAUUUUUGUUUUUCUCUUCUCUUGUUUAAAUCUAGCAUAGACACCUUUAUCAAGUACACGGGUAUGUCUUAAGUGACUUUUGUGGCAUUUCUAAGCUUUAAUGUGACUUAGAUUAAAGGUGUUUAAAAAGGAGAAAACAAAGACAAAUUUUGAACUCUCCUUCGAACUAAAAAAUUGUGCUGAACUCCUUAAUAUUUGAAAUAUUGAUAUUCUGA